rnacentral:rRNA from 1 species
UACGUAGGGUGCGAGCGUUAAUCGGAAUUACUGGGCGUAAAGUGUGCGCAGGCGGCCGAGCAAGUCGAGUGUGAAAGCCCCGGGCUUAACUUGGGAAUUGCGCUCGAAACUACUUGGCUGGAGUGUGGCAGAGGAAGGUGGAAUUCCAGGUGUAGCGGUGAAAUGCGUAGAGAUCUGGAGGAACACCAAUUGCGAAGGCAGCUCGCUGGGACGUUACUGACGCUGAGACGCGAAAGCGUGGGGAGCAAACAGG